UUAUCAAUAAGAAAAUCACCCAUUUAGUUGAGGAUGCAUUUCCUGACUCGUACGCACUGACCUCGUACAACGUACAUCUGAUCCCAGGUCGUUGACCGCAAAAUUUGAGGGAUACUGUCCGAGGAACCUCUGGGACCGAAUUGUAAGCUGUCAGAUCUAUAAUAGAAUCGAAUUCGUCGUUCUUCGAGCCUUGCGACUCACCUUCGUAGUGCCGUCACCGCGGGAGAGAGAGAGAGAGAGAGAGAGAGAGAGAGAGAGAGAGAGAGGAGGAACAAAAUUCGAGUCGAACGAUACUACCUGGAGAGGCAGCGGCUAGCAUGCCGGUGUACAUUACAACGCAAUGCUACAAUAAAAACGAUGACAUAACUUU